AAUCAUUUUGGGCAAGAGGUUUAGGGUUUGAAGGUAUAUGGUUAUUUACUAAUUUUGUAUAAAUUAGUUGUAUUUAAAUGUCAAUCAUUGGUUCAACACACCAAAUUAGCAUGCUGACAUCGUACAUUGAGUAAAUAUUGAAUAAUGAAUAUUAACAUGUAUAAGAAGAGGAUAGAAAGGAAAGUCAUAUAUGGUCACUAACGUUAAUUUGUGAAGUUAGGAGUAGAAAUAUUUAAUUUCUUGUUUACUAGAUUUUUUUUUUCCAUUUUGGGUAUACAAAACUAUAUGUUUUCGUUAGCUUAUUGACAAAUGAAUUGUUUUAUGAAUGAUGUGAUCUUGUAAAUGUGUAUGUUUAAUUUGGGUGGUAAUUAAUUACAUUGAACAAAGAAUUGCUUUAGAUAAUUAAGAGAAGCUUAAACUGACAGAUAGUGCCAUUAUGGCUGCCUGGCUUCUUGGUGCUUAGUGUUAUAUGACUGAGCCUGCUGUUAUGUUAUUCCCGAGAGAUGCUUUCUUGUCACAAUACAAAUCAUUCAUUAGAAGAAGAUUUAAUUAAUAAUCAAUUCAUAAGAAAAUAUGUUAAUUCUACAUAUAGAAAUUGAAGGAGCAUGAAAGUAUAUGUAAAUAUUUUACACAUUAAUAACAAUUGGAUGCAGAGAAUUAAUUUCUUAUAUGUCUAAUCUGCAGAAAUUAAACUAUAUAUAUACUUCCAUUUUUUUUUAUUUCUGCAUAAUUUAAUGCAUCUGUGUGUUGCUUCUGCUCUGCUUUAAAGUAACUAAUAGUCAUUUACAAAGUAAAUCUGAAAUUUGAUAAAUAAUCUUGCAUAUAUUAAAACUCUAGUUACGUUGAAUCUUCUCUUCACCCCAAAGUACCCAGGUUCAAUA
rnacentral:misc_RNA from 1 species